GGGUAAUGGUCCCCAUUUAACAGAUGUGCUGAGGCCCAGAGAGGUGAACUCACCUGCCCAAGGACACAUAGAUCGGAAGAGGCAGAGCUGAGAUUCAAACCCAGCUCUACCCAGUUCUAAAGGCUGCUUCUGAACCUCCACAGGCCCGCAUCCCUCCCACAGCCCUGCAGUCACGGACUCACCCCUCUUCUCUGUGGAUAGGGGCUGACCACCCCAGGAAGGCUGUAGCAGGAAAAACGAAGGCAGAAGUCCCUGAAAUGGCGAAGAAAAGGCCGAAACUCUUCUGCUACCACUAGACUGUGGGCCCUCGGGAGGAGUCUCAUCUGUGUUUCCCACGGGACUGGUCACGUGACAGAACGAUAUAAGCCACGUGGCACAUGACAGCAGAAAUAGCAAGAACAUCACAUGAGAAAGACUUGCCUUCAAAUGCUGGCGAAGAGUAACCACUCUAAAUCUCCGAAGUUCUCCAGCUGUAAAAUUGGGGUGAAAAUGCUGCUUUGUCAAGUUUGUUGUAAGGAUUAAAAAUAAGGGCG